GCCAGGCAUGGUGGUGCAUGCCUGUAAUCCCAGCAGUUUGGGAGGCAGAGACAGGAGUUUUGUGAGUCCAAAGCCAGCCUCAG
rnacentral:sRNA from 1 species